UGCGUAGGCGGGUCUUUAAGUCAGGGGUGAAAUCCUGGAGCUCAACUCCAGAACUGCCUUUGAUACUGAAGAUCUUGAGUUCGGGAGAGGUGAGUGGAACUGCGAGUGUAGAGGUGAAAUUCGUAGAUAUUCGCAAGAACACCAGUGGCGAAGGCGGCUCACUGGCCCGAUACUAACGCUGAGGCACGAAAGCGUGGGAGCAAACA
rnacentral:rRNA from 1 species